rnacentral:misc_RNA from 1 species
UGGUUUUGGCAUNGAUGAAGAACGCAGCGAAAUGCGAUAAGUAAUGUGAAUUGCAGAAUUCAGUGAAUCAUCGAAUCUUUGAACGCACAUUGCGCCCCCUGGUAUUCCGGGGGGCAUGCCUGUUCGAGCGUCAUUUAGUGGAAAAUCAAGCACCUGCUUGGCCUUGGGAGCCCGCCCCGUCAGGGGCGCCCCCUAAACCGGUUGGCGGUGGCCCCGGGCUUCUAGCGUAGUGAAACAUCCCGCUACGAGGCCCUGCGGUCGCCCGCUUCCAGAGACCAAACUCUUAUACCAUUGACCUCGGAUCAGGUAGGGAUACCCGCUGA